rnacentral:tRNA from 1 species
GGUGGCGGCGGGCAGGUCGUCGAACGCACCGGCUUCGAAGCGGUGCAGCCGGUGGGCGAAAGGCAGGGCCGAGGUUCCGAUCAUCGCCGCCACCG